GUGGGGAAUUUUGGACAAUGGGGGCAACCCUGAUCCAGCCAUGCCGCGUGAGUGAAGAAGGCCUUCGGGUUGUAAAGCUCUUUCGGUGGGAACGAAACGGGUAGUGCUAAUACCACUGCUCAAUGACGGUACUCACAGAAGAAGCACCGGCUAACUACGUGCCAGCAGCCGCGGUAAUACGUAGGGUGCGAGCGUUAAUCGGAAUUACUGGGCGUAAAGCGUGCGUAGGCGGUUUUUCAAGCUUGAUGUGAAAGCCCCGGGCUUAACCUGGGAAUGGCAUUGAGGACUGAGAGGCUAGAGUGCGGCAGAGGGAGGUGGAAUUCCACGUGUAGCAGUGAAAUGCGUAGAGAUGUGGAGGAACACCGAUGGCGAAGGCAGCCUCCUGGGCCGACACUGACGCUGAGGGCACGAAAGCGUGGGGAGCAAACAGGAUUAGAUACCCGAGUAGUCC
rnacentral:rRNA from 1 species